UGGAUAUAAUUUUGUUUAACACACUGGUCUUUUAAGGAAACACAUAAUAAUCUGUAGUAAGGAUGGCAGCAAAUCCGAAUCUCUAAUACGUCAGGGAAGCCGACUACCCUACAUGUGACUACGUCUUGUAUACACUUGCCUACGUCGCGGCGUGUACCUUUACUCUUGGCAGGAAGUUUGUAUGGAUCUUUACAGAUCCCUGGCCUGGCCUUUGCUCAACCAAUGACGUAGAGCGCACCUUUCCAUGGUGCCACCCACUCCCAUACUCGUCGCACUAGCACUCAAUCUCAAACUCUGUUAAUAUAAAUAACCGUUACCGGCCAGUGCUUCACUUCCCACAGAGACGGCAAGUGCUGAAACACUGCGUGUGAAGGAGUGAAGUCUAUGUCUUCUAAGUAACCACACUUCUUUGUAUCUCGGAUUUUGUAGAAUGUAUUCGAACUUUAGUAUUUUAUUCCACGUAAAUAACUUUGAUAACUUAUUAAUAGGAGCAACAAAUCAUUGUUGAAACAAACCCAGAAAAUGCAAACUGUGAAGGCUUUGUCAAAUAAGCAGGCUUCAAUGUAUUUGAUAUUGCGAGCCCAGGAGUCUGCAUUAUUCAGAAAAAGAGGAUGUGGUCGCCCGUCUCUAAGAGGCAGUGUCUUUGGUCACAACAUCUGUCCCGAAGAGGUGGCUUCUUUGUAUGUGAUACUCGUGGGAAAAUAUAUAUUUGUGAACUCGGAGAACGUCAGUCCCUAAUGACUACAACUGUGUCGUAGGAGAAUGGGCUCCACUAUAUUAAAAUCUGGACCUUCGCACACACACACACAGAGUCUGAUAUUUUUAGGCGGUGAGUAGGAAUAAUAAUCCUCUGCAAACUCUUUUUUUUUAAUAAAUACAUAAAAUGUCAAGAUCUUAAUUUGGUGUUUAUGAUAUUACCGUUCUAUUUUUCAGCACUUUGUAUGGACCAACUGCUUUUCACACACAGAAGCGUUAAAUAUAGUGACUAAAUCCGUAUUCAGUAACGAUUAUUAUUGUUAUUAUUGUUAUUAAUUGUUAUGAUUAUUGUUAUGAUUAUUGUUAUGAUGAUGAUGAUUAUUAUUAUUAUUAUUAUUAACGGUAGCUAUUUCGUAUGCCAUUUGUGAUGGAUGCCAACUGGACGGCGAUAAGACAAAAGACAACGAGAUAUCGGGAGGUAACUUCCUUUUAGCAUGUUUUGUAAAUCUUCAGUAUUGCGGUCAAACGUCAACAAGUAUUGUUGCUACAGAACCGGGUAAAAGACUAUACUACAACAAUAGCUUAAGAAAUCAAUCGUGAUAACCUUCAGAAAGACAUUUUGUGCAUACACACAUAUAUAUAUAUAUUGCUUUUAUCUAGCAAUAAACAACAAGCACACGGAUUCAAAACACAAAAAAACCAUUUUUUAUUUCAAAAUAUCCUUGUUUACUAAGCAGUCACAGAGUUUUUCUUUAGGAGUAUUACCUUUGGUUUUGACUUAUUGCAGGGGGCAUUUUUAGGCUCGUAUAAAUUGGUUGUGCCAAUAAUGUUUUCUUAUUGUUUAAAACAAAAUGUUACUUGAGCUUCAACAUACUCACAGAAGACUCGGCAGGCUAUUACAAGUACUUAUUUUGAACACUUUUUUUCUGUACCUUACUCACACUUAGCCAAAAUUCCAAAAUGUGUAAGUAAACUCCACACAACGCAAUACUUCGGAGCUAAGAGACUCACGACGGUCUCCUAUUUCGUUUUGAAUAUAGUCAUGCCCGCGCAAGUACCUGCUUGGGCACCGAUGGAACAAAUACAACUAUUGCGAUUUUCUCUUUUUCACAUGUUCACGCAGUGAGUAGGUGGUGAAGGUAUAUCGUGAAUGUCGAAUGUGCCUGGGUGAGUGCGUCUGUUCGUACGUGCGUGUGUCCAUAAUCACACAAGCUUCAGUAUAAGUAAAGAAAGAAGGCAUGCAAUAAUGAAAAGAGAACCAUGACAAGACGUUGAACAACAGUUGACUUUGUUGACAAGCAAGUUUGUUUUCAGAAAUUGUGUGAGUAGAACGGGCGUGCAGCCUCAAUCUUUGCCUUAGUAACUUCGUAAGAAAUAGAUAUUUGAGGUAAAAUAUUUUCGUCGGACACAAAGAUAAAUUAAUGAUUGUGCGCUUGCAUGUCAAAAGUCAAUAAAAACAACAAAGUCGCUACCAAGCCUCUGCUGGCUGAAAACAAUCAGGUUAUUGCCUGCGCGAAACAUCUGUAGCUAGAAUGUUUACUCAAGGCCUAAUUACACGCUCCACUUAUUGGAAUCAGUUUUUCAGAAACCGCGUUCUCAGAAACCGCGUUCUCAGAAAUCAAAAUUUGGGGAAGUUUGGGUGUGUGUGGGGGUAGGGGGGAAAGAAAUAUAAAUAGUGACACAGUUUCAUCGGAAACGAACUUCGAAGCAAAGUCAUGAAAAUCUUCAGCGUGAGAAACAAGAUUCAAGGUUACCUUGGGAAGGAAGCGUCUACUACUUGAUUCCCAGCGCUCACUUACAGUGCUGACGUGUUACCUGUACCAAGGUACACAGAAUCGUCGGUCCGAUGAGAGUUGGAAAAAUUUUCAGGACAGGAAAUGCCUGUCUUCAAGAAGGAUUUGUGACACUUUCAGAAGUUUCUGCAUGUUAUGCAGUCUGAAUACCAAUCCAGGCUGUCGCAGUGACUUUGGAGCAGGUGGACAAAACAAGAUGGCACCCACGAUUUAGAUGAAAUGGGAAAUUCAUCACCACCACCACAACAGCCUCCGCCGCAAGUAUGUAAAAUGAUCAGUGAAGAAUCUGUAACAGUUGAGACUUGUGGGGAAAAAUAUAACAAGUCAUGCAAGUAUUCAAUCGAAGCAGACCGUGAUGUGAUCAAGAAAGUUGUAGACGAAAAAUCAAAGCAGGAAGUAAAACAAAUGAAGAUAGCUUUGUCUUCGACAGUAAGUUUGAGAGAAUAACACGAUCCUGGGUAACGUCCCGACGACAUCAAGAACACUGAAAACAUGGCAAAUGGAGAGCCUGCUGGUGUUUAUGAUAGCGUAUAUCUGCAGAUUCAUCUUCAGAAUGCCUAACAUACCAAAAUUCUUAACCGACUGUUGGUGUACUUUGUCGAAGUUGGGAAAAGAAAAGGUUUCUAAUGGAGUUCAUCCAGAAGAGCACCGAGAGGAUCCCCCACAAGUUCAUUCUAAAUUUGAAUGCGAAGAAACGAUCUCUAUAGUAAAGAAAGACGGCUCAGAGUACACGGGAUACAAGUCUCAGGUGAUAGAGGAUGGUCAGCUGAAGAAGUUUAGCCAUGGCUUUAAAGUCUAUAGCUCGACAGACAACCCCCAAGGUGAGCGCCAAGAGCACUCCCAACACUACCAUUACGACGCCGGAGUAGAGAACAAUAACGUCAAAAGUGUGGUGAAUGAAUUUCAAUAAAGAGCUUAAGAACAGAAAACUCAGUGUUUUGUGCAAAAAUAUAGAUUGCUGACCUCUAAAACAUAUUCAGUGUGGAGACACAAAACAGAAAAUUGCAGAAGAACUAGUUUUAUAGACGCUCCACGAUGAAGAAAAUGGAGUAGAAAACAUAAAAAAGCGAAUUGCAUCACUAUGGAAGAGACAUAUAGACAAAAUUUUCGUGUAUUAGUGUAAAAUCCCUUGAUGUAUACCGAAUCCAUUAGAAAUUGUUGUACAGUAUAACCUAACGGUAGUCUUCUUUCACAUGGAGCACGAAAACUGGAUUCGGUUACAAUGGCAUAUGCAAGUACGCACAACAUCAGGGGAUCAAGUUGGCAGCAAGAAGUCAAGUAUCACAGGAAGUAAAAAUGUUGUGAAACUUAUUUGUUGCCACAUACUACAAAAUGCUUUUGAUAGCAUUGUGAAAGGUAUGGCUAUCCCGAUAGCUAUGCCUGAAAAUAUUUAUCAGAUGAUUCAGAAUGCUGCUGAGGAGUUCAACCUGUACGACACACAGGUUAUCAUCUUUGAGGUUCUCAUUGACUGUACACGAAAUGCGAUAGCUUUGGUUUUGACCAAAAAGAUGGCGUUCAAUGGUCUUGGUGUCGACGAUGUAGAAAAACUGACAAACCUGGAACUUAACAGAAUUGAAAGACAAUGUCAAGACGUUAUUGUAGCUUUGCAGAAUUCAAGAGCGGUCACCCAGUGAGCGCGAGCAGAGUGGUGAUCACUUAACUCUGAGAGCUUAAUUAAGCACACUAACACAAGCGGUGAUAGUAAGGACUCUUGCUAAAUUCAUCUAUCUACCUAGCAAUGUGGUCUAUAAGCUACUCGAAUUUAUGAAAGUCUUCUGCACAGUAUAUAUUACUGUAAAUUCUAUCUGCAACUGCACGCCAGCUUUAAUUUGUUAAAACAGACAACACCUGUCUCUUGCCAGUUUGGUGUAGUUAGGAGAAGGUGUUCCAAAGCUGGCUACAUUACACCAAAAGAGCAGAUUCCUCGAUCAGGUACUAUUAUAUAGAAUGGUAAUGUUAGUGUCCAUUGAGUAAACACUUUUGAGAUCAACUAUGGGAUAUGUUAAAUAACCAGAACUAUUCAGAGGAAAUUAGGAUCUAUGAAGAAAUUGUUUCGUUUGGUAUUCGUAGAACUGAAGGGAUGGCAAACCUUUGUACUUUCUUAUUCUUCUAGCAAAAUUUUUUUAUUUAUAGAUGCAGAUUUCUGAAGACAAUACCAACGGUGAAUAAGUUUAAGCCAUUUUAAAAGUCACGAUAUAUUGGGGAGCAAUAUACGGCAUUUACCAAUGGCUCAGAGAUAUCCUUUCGGAAACAGUGGCUCCCGUGUAGUCGUAUCAUUUCUUAAAUAAUAUUAUUAUUUAUAUAAAAGCGGGGACGUUAAAGUAACUUAGGGGAGCCUCGAGACAACUGCAGCAUACAGCAAAUGUUAAAACUUUAUUUGAUUUGUGUAAGUUUGCCUAUACUGUAGCAGAUGGAUUACCUUGUUACUUGUUAUUUCUAUUACCUUGUGUGUAUAUUAUGUUGUUUACGUGUAUGUAGAUUGCUUAAAUGUUGAAUUAUUCUGCAUGCAAUUGUUUGUGUUGUACUUGUGUGCAUUGUGUAAUAAUAAUUAAAAGUAAGAAAAAAUUUAUUUCUGGCAUCUGAAACGUAAAAAAUACAUGUUGAACAAAUGUGAGAUUACCUCAUUUAAAACAGUUCAUUCAAAUAUUGCAGCAUCGAUAGAAAAUAGAAAAUUUUAAGGCACACCUCGAAAUGAAAAAGAUGUAAUCGCAAAACAACGGCUUCCCUGUGUGCAGCUUGUCACUUUGACAUAAAUAUUGACCAGGUUACCAGGUUCGUAAGAAAUAGAUAUUUGAGGUAAUGUAUUUUCGUCGGACACAAAGAUAAAUUAAUGAUUGUGCGCUUGCAUGUCAAAAGUCAAUAAAAACAACAAAGUCGCUACCAAGCCUCUGCUGGCUGAAAAGAAUCAGGUUAUUGCAUGCGCGAAACAUCUGUAGCUAGAAUGUUUACUCAAGGCCUAAUUACACGCUCCACUUAUUGGAAUCAGUUUUUCAGAAACCGCGUUCUCAGAAAUCAAAAUUUGGGGAAGUUUGGGUGUGUGUGGGGGUAGGGGGGAAAGAAAUAUAAAUAGUGACACAGUUUCAUGGGAAACGAACUUCGAAGCAAAGUCAUGAAAAUCUUCAGCGUGAGAAACAAGAUUCAAGGUAAGGCCCGCUAGACACAAAGAUAUUAAUUUUUCAGUGUUAUAAUUUUAAAAGAUUUAAUAAGUAUUUGAUUAUUGACAAUGCAAACAGUAGUUCAUUAUUUUUAUCACCCGAUAAUGGAAUAGACUAUUAUGUUUGGUGCAUGCUUUUGACAUUUAUAUUCUGCUUAGUUGUUACUGCUGCAUCUAGUAAAUGCAUUGUUGUGAAUAAGCAAACGUAAACAACAUAAUUUGAUUCUAUAAGAGCGAAACACAGACAGGCGCGGUAUGGAAAAAGCAGGAAGACACUGCCUGAUGCCAAGGAGCAGGGCAUCUGUUUUAUCAGGGCUCAACUUUAUUUUCUUUUUUGUCAGACAUUUCUGUGUGUCAGAAUAGCAGGUAGUGGUAAAAGACGGAAGAAGAUAAACUUGUCUAAUGGAUGUAAAAUAAUUUGUAGAUAUUUCUACCAUCUGAAUAUAUUUUACGAAACAGUACAACGUGUGAAGUAUUACACUCUACUCAGACACACCAAGUAUCACACAUGACUCAUGCCCUAUAAUUUAAACUCAGUAUUACAAAUAUGUUAUUCUAAUUAAGUAAAAGUAUAUACAUGAGCUUAAAAAUAUGUAUAUUUUUGUGGUAGAAUUGCUUUUAUUAAUAAUAUAUCUAGUUUAUGUUUGCUUUCCCUUAGUUUAAUUUGUGUGCGUUUUAAAUAUUGUUUGUUUGGCUUCCAUUUGCUCGUCUAUAUGAUGUUUCAAAAACGUAAAAAAAUUAUGACUAACAACAUUAAGCUUGAUCUUUGGUCAUUUAUUGUGAAUUACCACAUUCUAGAUCAUGUUUUCGUAUUAGCUACAUGUAUUCUUGAACCCUUAAUGUUUUACUUUAACUUUCAUUACUUGUAUUCUCUAACCUGUGACUUCGUGGCUGAAUGCGUUUUGUAUAAUGACAUGUUAUUGUUAGUUUUUGGUAACCUUCACUUUUCGUGCCUUUGGUCAGCGCAGAAUGCCACCUGUUUUGAUGGAGAUGCUGGACGAUAAAAGCACUAUCCUUAAUAAUGUAUUUACAUACUGCACCUAUAUUAAAGGACUUGUUUCUAAAGUAAUCCACAACAAUCAUCAGUAUUUGUCGGGAAUAUGGUAACACAAAAAUCCAGUAUAGCUGUUGAGAAGAAAUUACGCUCAUUGCAUAAAACAACAUAGAAUCAUUUUAUAUGAUGAAGGAAGCGUGACAGUAACUAUUAAAGAUAAACUCACAAUUGUAGGUGUUAAAGGGAGUCAUAAUAGUUUGAAUUUCGAAGUGUACAUACAUUUAUCUUGUUUUUGUGAAUUUUGUUUGCAUGGAAUUCUACUACAAAAUGUAGCUUCACUGUAUUUCGUACUUUAAAACGUAUUAAAAAAAUUCAAGACAGGUUAACGCGCAAACCUCACACACACACACGUAUAUAUAUAUAACGUACAGACAUACAUGCACUCACACAUACAUGAUCAUGUCCGCACACAUACGUGCAUACAUCCUGCAGACACCUGUUUUUUUAUAGACAUAUACAUAAAUAAUUGUACACAGAAUGCUUUAGUGUUGAGGAUAUGCUUAAGAUAUCAUUGGUUUUGAGAUGUGUUUUGGGGGAAUUGUAUUACGGCUAAUAUAAUUGUUAAUAAAGAGUGUUGCACAAUAUUCACA
rnacentral:lncRNA from 1 species